GGCUGAGGCCUCCCCGCAGGCCGUGUUUCUCCUUGGGGACCUCUCAGCUCCACACCAUGGCUCAUCUCCGGCCCCAUCUCCUCCAGGGACCUUGGGGAACGCCUGAAGGCCCCCAGGGGAGCGGUGCUGCUCCUUGGGGUUUCAUCUGUCAGGAUUACUUUCAUCAGCAGAAAAUAAGAAGAGACAUCCUGCAUUAAAGAUGUUGCGCCGUGCAGCUGCACCUGCCCCAGGGGAGCUCCGAGUGCAGAGGGACCCGAUCCUGACUGAUGCUCGUGGGGCGUUUCCGAGGCAGGUGGAGCACUUUGUGCCUGGACUCCUUAUUUCCCUGGCCGCAGCCCUAAAUCUUCCACCCGUCAGCCCAUCACUGAAGCUACUUUGAGAUGGCUGCGUGUGGACAGCAAAUGGCCUUAUUGCUGCCCAGCUUCUGGUUUUACGCUUGCCUCCCGCACUCCCUGUUGUGCACACCUUCCCCUGGAGGGGCUGGCUCCAAGCACAAGCCGUGCCUGUCUGGGGAUGGACAGACGCCUCCUCUGCAGCUGCCUUUUCUUGCACCAAUACCAUAUUACAAAGGAUGGUCUAAAGUUACCUAACCUGUGAGCCUCCACAUAAAUCACGGCGAGCAGUGAUUUAGAGGGGAGCUGGGCUCCCCGUGGCGUGUGCACCGUGUCCCCUGCCCAGACCCCCACGCAGACAUCCCACUCCUCCAGAAGCCGGCAGAUAAGAGCAAUAAAAGCCACAGCUCACUCCAGCAUCACUACUGCUUAAUUCUUUUGGCAUGAUCAAGCCACUAAAUGAUGGAAAGAGGAACCUGAGCUGCCUCUUUUUUUUU